AUAAGGAUCCAUGACAAUUGAAACAAUCCUCACCAAAGUUAGCCUUCAUACCCACCUCACAAACCCCCACUUUUGGACCCACAUGUAAGGCUAAAAGUUUGACAGGAGAGGAUGGCAGACGGAUUUUCGUCGUCCCCGCCCUUUCAAUGAGGCGCUGUGCUCCCGAUCGCAAGAAAUUUUUUUCACCGCGCCGAUGUUUACCCUUCCUCUGUACCUGCCCGCCCAUUGGUCCGAUUUCCUGCCAUCACGCGGCGCCUAGCCUUCCCGUCAAUCACGCCGCCUCCACUGACCCCCUCGCGAUGCGCCUUCCCCCGAUGUCGCCUCCUCCCUCGCCCACGCUCGCCUCGCGCCCUCCCCUCCAUCCCCACGCCGCGGCCGCUGCUCCGUCCCUGGCCGCCUCUCCAUCAUGGGCCGCCAAUCCUCGCCGUCCUGGCCGAUCUGCGCCAAGUCUCCUACUCCUCCGUUCCGACCGCAUGCUCCUCCGGCCCCGUGCGCCCCACCGCCGUGCUACUCCUCCUGCACCUCGCACCCUUGCCUCCCCCGCCACCGAGCCCCUGCUUGGGCCCUGACUGAAACCCGGCGACGGUCGGCGGAUCCAGCAGCAGUGUUGGUGGAGGCCCCCUUGGCGAUGACGAAGGCCUGGUGGAGGUCGUCACAAAUGGCGGGGAUGGUGGCGAAGAUCCAGUGGAUUCCCGCGAGAUGGCGGCGGGGCUCUGGCAGGCGCGGCCCGCGGCAUGGUCCCUCACCGGCGGGACCAAGUGGUGGGCGCCCCUGCCGCUCGUCCUCGCGGCGCCCCCUCGCCGGCGCCCCCACGCUUCAGAUCUCUCCUUCCCACAGUGGCCGGCGGUGUGGAUCCGCUUCCUCCCUGGCCGGCUCAGGUCCAUGGCAUCCAUGGCCGGCGAGGCCCUCCUCCCUCACCCCUCCCUGGCCGGUGCGGCCCUAUUCCCUCCCCCCUCCCUGGACGGCGUGGGUCCAUGGCCGCCGUGCCCUCCUCCGGCCAUGCGCACGCGGCGGCCUGAGCUCUGGCGGUGGCGUCCAUGGCUGGCGCGGCUCCGUACUGCCUCUAGGCACAAGGAAAGGGUAGACUUUGUUUUUUCAUCUAAUUUUUUGUUCGUGCUUGUGCAAGAGGUUGGCAUCCGCCUACAGGUGAAUAGCCUGUGCAAGCACAAGCACCUUUCUUUCGAAGCCCAUCAAGUGGUGAAGUAGCUCAUCAGCGUAGUGUUCGGAACUUGGAAAAAAUUGAAGGGUAUUUAGUAGUGGACUGAUUGGGAUUUGUCUGAUGAAUCUGAUGAUAAUGGCUGCACCUUCAUGAUGCAUAUCAACAACGUCAGUCAGGUUGCCUAUGCAAGAAUUGAUUGUAUAAACUGGGCUGGCCUUUCAACUGAUGGUUAACACUUGGCGACGUUUCUUGGAGUCUUGGUGAACUCUGACAUGACCAUCUAUUGUUGGUUGGUUUUCUAAGAUUGGAGGACCUUACCUGGCCAUAUAUCUCUGGGGUUUUAUGUUUGUAUUAGCUCUCCUAAUGAUGACAAUAUACCCCAUCGUGAUAGCUCCUCUGUUCAACAAGUUCACACCUAAAUCAAUGCCUAUUCAUAUUGUGAAGACAUUAAUUAGUUGAUAAGCACAUUGAGAACAGCAUGAAUAUUUGGGUGGGAUUUAGCAUACGUUUGACCCUGUUGAUACUGCAAUUAGUGUGUGCAAUGAUCUACAGUCGUGCCUGCUUCCAAGUUCCAAUGCCUUGUUAUUGUGGUCGACUCCACAAGCAGAUCAAGGUGUAGACUCUAAAAGUUUCGGAGAAUUACUUGGCAGCAAAUCCAGGAUGUGUCCUGGAAGAUUUUGUUAGAUGGCACUCUCCACUUGAUUGGUCUGAAGACUGUGCUGCAAACAGUACCACUGUAGGGGAAGGCUCAUCUAGACGUGGGCGGUUAAGUGAUAGAUGCAAACAAAAGAGGGAAACUUGUGGGAGGCUGCAAAACCUAUACCUGCCGUUGAACAGACUCCAAUAUAUGAUGAAGAUUUAGCAAUGGAGAGCAUCUUUGAUUCCUUGGAAGUUAUUGAGCCAUCUAAAUUGUUUUAGCUGCUACUUGCUGUCAUUGUAAGUUCGAUGAUCGCCCUUUUUCUUUUUGUCUUGUUUUUGCAGCUAGCUGCUAACUCUCGAUCUUAUUUAUCUUGGGACAAACUCUAAUGUCUUACUGACUGCUAUUUGCGAAUAGCAGCUUUCUGUAAGUUUUGUGGCAGCAGAUAGCAGCCUGUUAAAAUUAUUCUAGGAUUGCAGGGACUACAUAGCUGACACAUAGCUUCCAGGAUGUAGUCACCUUGCAUCAAUCCAAAUGCUGUGCUGAAUUUGCUCCUUGUGAUAUCCUCCUCGACAUUGUGCUGACCUCUGGCCCUUCAUCAAUAGAUUUUAUUUAGAGAACAAGAGUUCCAGCCAAGUGUUUUUUUUUGGCUUCUACUGCUUUGUAGACAGUGGACAGUGGUGAGGCUGCACAAGCAUGGUUUCUAGGACAAAGUGAUUGUGCUUCAUGUGGUCAAGACAGAGACAGUGGAACACUUAUUCUGCAUUGCCCAUUCAGCAAAGAAGUCUGGUUCAGACUUCUCAGGAUGGCACCUUUAAGUACUACCAACAAAUCCCAGCAAGUCUAAUCAACUCAGAAAGAAAUACGGUAUGCCUUGUGCCAUUUGGUAGCCAUGACUUGAAAAAUGUGUUUUCUACUCUGUAUAUAUUUUUUUUGUAUUGGAAGUCAUUAUUUAAACUAUUCUUUUAUAUGCAGAAAGAUACCUGGUUACAAGUUAAGCCUUACUAAAUUUCUUUAAACCAUUUGGAUGUUCAUUUAUUUUAUGUCAAUAGUUUGUUGUCAUGAAGAAGAAUAUUCCUCAUAUAUUAGAAGCUGAGCCUCGUAUAUGUAUGAUUGGAAUAUUAUGGUCAGAUUUGAGCAUCCUCCUCCUUUUCUGUAUAUAGAAGCAAGAGCUUUGCUCCAAUGUGUUGAAGUGAGAAAUAUUCAUAUUGUGUCAUCCGUGGAGGCAUGUGGGGCCAUGGCGGCAGGUAUGGCAGCUCUGAUGCUGUUGCAAUUGGGACUUGGGAGGGCAAAAUAAGAUAGUAAUAUUUUUUAAUAAAAGAGAGAUAUGAAUUUAUGUGUGAAUAAAUAUUUUUUUAGUCUCACCUUGCUUUGUUAUAUUUUUCCUUUUCUUUAUGGAUAGGAUAUUUGAAUUCAGGAUACAUGAAGCUUUUUUGUAUUUUCUAUUGAUCUACUAAUAUAAGCAGCAGAGAAGCAUGCUUGGUCGGGCCUGCUAGCUUGCCCUGUAGGAAGAAUCUAGAUAUAUUCUUGUGUUUGAAAUAUUGAUGAUCGAGCAAACAUGUUUUCUUUAUAUACUUGCAUUGUACGUGUAUGGUUCUUUCCAUACUAAGAUAUGGUUCUUCGGUUGAUCCAUCAAUUUGUAUUUCAUAAAUGGUGGCUAAUUGCAUAAAAACAAACUGUAAGUUUCCAGACUUGAUUUUUGGUUAUUUAAGUUUCCAAACAAUUUAUAUGGCCCAUUCUGAUUUUGGUUCGUUUCUAUCUUAACUUGGUGUUUGCAUUAUGGGUGCAGACUAAGCUCAUCAAGGAGUGGGAAAACUACCGGUUGUUGGAUCCUGCACGUUAUGGCUUUUCUGGAACAAUGGUCUUUCUGAAGCAUAGGAUAAUAAUCGAAUGGGAGGGACCCAAAGGAGGCUGAUGCUACUGCAUUAUGGGAGGGUGUUUGUCUGGACCAAUAUUGGCACAUAUCCUUAGUGCCCCCUGGAGGAAAGGCGACAGCUAGAGCAUGAGUUAGAGUUUGCCCUUUUUUUUUCUUCUAUCUUCCAUAGUGCUUGAAGACUCCUAUCAGUAAUUAUAUUUUCUUAACAUUAAUAAUUAUCUAUUCUGCAAAAAAGUUUGUUCAUUGAAAUAUAAAGUUUGUUUUUUAGGUUUAAAAAUUUAUUGUAAAUGCAGUGUCAGUUGAUAUUGGGGUUGCAAAGUUAAGCUUUCUAUU